GACGAACGCUGGCGGCGUGCCUAAUACAUGCAAGUAGAACGCUGAAGGGGGAGCUUGCUUCUCCGGAUGAGUUGCGAACGGGUGAGUAACGCGUAGGUAACCUGCCUGGUAGCGGGGGAUAACUAUUGGAAACGAUAGCUAAUGCCGCAUAAUAGUAGAUGUUGCAUGACAUUUGCUUAAAAGGUGCAAUUGCACCACUACCAGAUGGACCUGCGUUGUAUUAGCUAGUUGGUGGGGUAACGGCUCACCAAGGCGACGAUACAUAGCCGACCUGAGAGGGUGAUCGGCCACACUGGGACUGAGACACGGCCCAGACUCCUACGGGAGGCAGCAGUAGGGAAUCUUCGGCAAUGGACGGAAGUCUGACCGAGCAACGCCGCGUGAGUGAAGAAGGUUUUCGGAUCGUAAAGCUCUGUUGUAAGAGAAGAACGAGUGUGAGAGUGGAAAGUUCACACUGUGACGGUAUCUUACCAGAAAGGGACGGCUAACUACGUG
rnacentral:rRNA from 1 species